rnacentral:rRNA from 1 species
CUGCGAAUGGCUCAUUAAAUCAGUUAUCGUUUAUUUGAUAGUACCUUACUACUUGGAUAACCGUGGUAAUUCUAGAGCUAAUACAUGCUAAAAACCCCAACUUCGGGAGGGGUGUAUUUAUUAGAUAAAAAACCAAUGCCCUUCGGGGCUCCUUGGUGAUUCAUAAUAACUUAACGGAUCGCAUGGCCUUGAGCCGGCGACGGUUCAUUCAAAUUUCUGCCCUAUCAACUUUCGAUGGUAAGGUAUUGGCUUACCAUGGUUUCAACGGGUAACGGGGAAUUAGGGUUCGAUUCCGGAGAGGGAGCCUGAGAAACGGCUACCACAUCCAAGGAAGGCAGCAGGCGCGCAAAUUACCCAAUCCCGACACGGGGAGGUAGUGACAAUAAAUACUGAUACAGGGCUCUUUUGGGUCUUGUAAUCGGAAUGAGUACAAUUUAAACCCCUUAACGAGGAACAAUUGGAGGGCAAGUCUGGUGCCAGCAGCCGCGGUAAUUCCAGCUCCAAUAGCGUAUAUUAAAGUUGUUGCAGUUAAAAAGCUCGUAGUUGAACCUUGGGCCUGGCUGGCCGGUCCGCCUCACCGCGUGUACUGGUCCGGCCGGGCCUUUCCUUCUGGAGAUCCUCAUGCCCUUCACUGGGUGUGUUGGGGAACCAGGACUUUUACUGUGAACAAAUUAGAGUGUUCAAAGCAGGCCUUUGCUCGAAUACAUUAGCAUGGAAUAAUAGAAUAGGACGUGCGGUCCUAUUUUGUUGGUUUCUAGGACCGCCGUAAUGAUUAAUAGGGAUAGUCGGGGGCAUCAGUAUUCAAUUGUCAGAGGUGAAAUUCUUGGAUUUAUUGAAGACUAACUACUGCGAAAGCAUUUGCCAAGGAUGUUUUCAUUAAUCAGUGAACGAAAGUUAGGGGAUCGAAGAGAUCAGAUACCGUCGUAGUCUUAACCGUAACUAUGCCGACUAGGGA